GGUGGCUCAGUGGUAGAGCGGAGCGCUUGCCUUGCAUGCAUGAGGCCCUGGGUUCAAUUCCUCAGCACCA
rnacentral:tRNA from 1 species